rnacentral:tRNA from 1 species
GCGCCCGUAGCUCAACCGGACAGAGCGUUAGGUUCCGGUCCUAAAGGCUGGGGGUUCGAGUCCUCCCGGGCGUA